rnacentral:rRNA from 1 species
CGGCGUGCUUAACACAUGCAAGUCGAACGAGGUCCACUGCGUAGCAAUACAAGGGAAGACCUAGUGGCGAACGGGUGCGUAACACGUGAGGAACUUGUCCCGGUCUCUGGGAUAACAGUUGGAAACGACUGCUAAUACCGGAUGACGUCGGAAUCUCGCAUGGGAUACUGACGAAAGGGUUACUGGAUCGGGAGAGCCUCGCGGCCUAUCAGCUUGUUGGUGAGGUAACGGCUCACCAAGGCAUCGACGGGUAGCUGGUCUGAGAGGAUGAUCAGCCACACUGGGACUGAGACACGGCCCAGACUCCUACGGGAGGCAGCAGUGGGGAAUCUUGCGCAAUGGGCGAAAGCCUGACGCAGCAACGCCGCGUGCGGGAAGAAGGCCCUCGGGUUGUAAACCGCUUUCAGUAGGAACGAAAAUGACGGUACCUGCAGAAGAAGGUGCGGCCAACUACGUG